GAGCUUUUGUUUUAUUCCUAUUGAGUUUUGAGAGUUCUUUUUGUAUUUCAGAUACAAGUUCUUUAUCAGAUUUGUCUUUGAGAAUGUUUUCUCUCUGUGACUUCUCAUUUUUUUAAAAAUCGGGUCCAUCAACUUAUCAUUUGUUCUUUUAUGGGUCAUGGUUGUAUUGUUAUAGCUAGGAAAUCUUUGCCUGACCCAACACUACAAAGACUUUCCCCUAUAUUAUCUUCUAAAAGUUUUAUAGUUUAGUUUUUUUUUUUUUUAAUUUCACAACUAUUGAUUCACAUUUUCUUUAUGUGGGAUUUCUGAACCGGGAUUGCUGGAUCAUACAGUUCUAUUUUUAUUUUUUGGAGGAACCUCCAUAUUGUUUUGUACGGUGGUUGUACCAAUUUACACUCCCAUCAACAGUGUACAAGUGUGCCCUUUGCCCCACAUCCUUGCCCUAAUACUUGUUAUUUCUUAUCUUUUUGAUAAUGGCCAUUCUAACAGGUAUGAGGGAAUAUCUCGUGAUUUGCAUUUCCCUGAUGAUUAGUGAUGUGGAGUACCUUUCCAUAUACCUAUUUUUUUCCCCUUUGGAAAAAUGUCUGUCUAGUCUCAUUGCCCAUUUUAAAAUCAGAUUAUUUGUAUUUUUCUAUUGAGUUGCAUAAAUUUCUUAUACAUUUUAUAUAUUAGCUGCUUAUCAGUAUGUGGUUUGUAAACAUUUUCUCCCAUGCUAGAGGUAACCAUUUCAUUUUGUUGACUCUUGUUGUGCGGAAGCUUUAUAGUUUGAGCAAGUCCCACUUACUUAUUUUCGGUUUUGUUGCUCCCGCUUUGGUAUCAUAUCCAAAAAAUUAUUGCCAAGACCAAUGUCAAGGAGCUUAUUGCCAACGUUUUCCUCUAGGAGUUAGUCUUUAUAUUUAAGUCUUAAAUUCAUUUCAAGUUAAUUUCUGUGAGCAGACGGUUUAGGCUUUACAUUAGGUUUUCAUAUCUGAGUUCAUUUUUCUAUAUGGUACGAGGUAGAGACAGAAGUUCACUUUUUUGCAUGUGAAUGCUGCAGCAGCAUUUUUUGAAAAGGCUAUCCUUUCUCCAGUGAUUUGCCAUUGCUUCUUUGUAAGAAAAUCAGUUGUCUGUGUAUAUGCAGGUCUAUUUCUGGACUCUGUUUGAUUCCAUUGAUCUAUUUGUUUAUUUAUGCCAAUAUCACACUGCUUUGAUUAUUUGAUUAUUAUUUAUAAUAACUCUUGAAAUUAGAUAGUGAUAGCCCUGAAUCUUUGUCCUUCAUCAAAGUUGUUUUGGCUAUUCUAGGUCCUUUACAUUUCUCUACGAAUUUUAGAAUCCGCCUGUCAAUUUCUGCAAAAAACAACAACAAUAAAACAAACGAAAACCUGCUGGGAUUUUGGUUGGGAUGUGUUGAGCCAAUAAGACAAAUGGGAAGAAUCGACAUCUAAACAAUAUCGAGCCUUUUGAACUAUGAACAGGCUGUAUCUCACCACUGAUUUAGGUCUUGUUUAACUUCCACAGUAUUUUGUAGUUUUAAGUGCAGAGGUUCCUCACAGCUUUUGUUAUACUUAUCCUUACGUAUUUCAUAAAUAUACAUUUUGAUGCUAUGAUAAAUUACAUUAAAUUUUUUUUCUAACUGUUCAUUGAUUUUUGAAUAUAGAUAAUUCUUCCAGCUUGCUAAAUGCAGUCGUUUUAAUAGUGUUUCUGUAGAGUAUAUAAAAUUUCCUACAGAGACGGUUAUGUUAUCUGUGAAUAAAGGCAGUUUUACUUAAUCUUUUCCAGGCUGGAUGCCUUCUAUUUGAUUUUCUUGUUUAAUUAUACUUCCAUGAAGCUCCAGUUCAAUGUUAAGAGUAACGUAAGAGUAGACAUCAUUGCCUUGUGCCUGAACUUAGGAGGGAAAGUGUUCGGUCUUUUACCAUUAAGUGUGAUUUUGGCUGCAGAUUUAUCAUAGAUGCCCUUUUUUUUUUUUUUUUCCAACGUUUAUUUAUUUUUGGGACAGAGAGAGACAGAGCAUGAACGGGGGAGGGGCAGAGAGAGAGGGAGACACAGAAUCGGAAACAGGCUCCAGGCUCUGAGCCAUCAGCCCAGAGCCUGACGCGGGGCUCAAACUCACGGACCGCGAGAUCGUGACCUGGCUGAAGUCGGACGCUUAAUCGACUGCGCCACCCAGGUGCCCCUUAAAUAUGUUUUUAAAUUUAAGUUGUUAAAAUUCUGUUCAUAAGUGUGCCGGUAUGUUUAUGCAGACAUGCACAUUUAAUGUGAUUAUUAAUACACUUAAGUUUAAGUCUGUCAUCUUGCUUUGUUUUAUAUGUGUCCCAUCUGUUCCUCAUUCCCUCUUCCCUUAUUUUCUGCCUUUUUUUUUUUUUUUUUUUUGGAUUGAAUAUUUUUUUAUGAUUCUAUUUUAUCUCCUUUUUGGCUUAUUAGUUAUGUCUUUUUGUUCUUUGUUUUGUCAUUUUAACGGUUGCUUUAGAGUUUAUAGUACACAGAACAGCUCCCUUGGGGAGCUUGGAAAAGGAGUGAAGAACAGUCUUAAUUUCUUCCCUAGACACCCAGAUCUUUUUUUUUUUUUUUUGCUUUUUUUUAAGAGAGAGAGAGAGAGGUAGAGUGCUAGUGUGUGAGUGGGGGAGGGGCAUAGGGAAAGAGAGAGAGAGAGAGAGAGAGAGAGAGAGAGAGAGAGAGAGAGACUGACUCUCAAGCAGACUCCAUAGUCAAUGUGGAGCCCAAUGCAAUGCAAGGCUCAAUUCUAUGACCCUGGGACCAUGACCUGAGCCAAAAUCAAGAGUCAGACGCCCAACUGACUGAGCCCCCCAGGUGCCCUUCCCCAUGCCCUUUUCCAGUGGGUCCAAAGCCCAGUAUUGGUACCUUGGGUUCCAAUACUGUGGGUGGGUAUGGGAUACUCAGUCUAAGUUUUGUACUCAGGGGGGCAGUUUAACCCCAUUUCUCUUUGACCACCACGCAAGGGGAGGUUGUGGGAAAACCACACCAAGAGGCAACCAGGAGGGUCGAAGGAGCAACCUGGAAAUACAAGGAUAACACCAGACAGGGUGCCAGAAGGCUGGCUCAGACCUGUUCCUGGACUCCUCCCAUGUGGAUGUUCACAGCUACCUCGUUGCUCAAAAGGGGAUUUGCAUCUCAGGUGAGGCCUCCGGCCAUCUGCCCAACCUAGUAUGUGGCCUGUGUUGACACAAUUUGACAAAACCCAACAGAGUUUAAAGUGCUGGUGUGCAAAAUGUUGCAAACCUUCCAGACUGAGUCUUGUUCAGUUCCUCAAGACUUCCAGGCUUCUCACUUAUGGGCCUUUCCCAUGCGGGCAUCUUAGUUCGGAUCAUUCCCCCUGUGCUUGCCCAUUCCAUCUGCCCAGAUCCUAGAGAUUGGAACUUAAGAACAAACUCCCCCUUGGACAGCUUUCCUCAUGCUCUCCCCACCCUCACACACCUCACCUUGUUGGGUCCCCACCCCCGUCACGUGCUUCCAUCGCACUCCUGCUUCCAUCUAACUCCCCUUUCCUUACAGAGCUUAGGGUCCGGCAGGGAGAGAGAAAAGAAAACAGGCCAUGAAAACACGCAUGACAUCUUGUUCACAUUUGCUAUUUAAUUCCCGCCAGACAUUGUUCAUGGUACUGCACACAGCCAAUUAUACGGUGGGACGGACGAAUGGGUGAGAUUGCAAGUAAGUCAGGUGCAGUGUUUGUUCAGACAGAACUGGGGCCCUGGGUUAACCCCCAGGUUAACCUAUAGAUUCUGGAGUAUUCAAAGGUUUGAGGGCAAGGGGAGUAAAUCAUCCUUAUUAGCACAGGAAGAGUUAAGGCCUUCUCCCUCCACCUGUCCCACAGUUUCUCCUAUAGCUGCAUCUCAAAGGCAUCCAGUGACCCAUCUAUGAUGCGGAUUGUCCCUCUCCCCCAAUCAGAGUAAUUACCAUCUUGACUUCUAACACCAUAUAUUGUUUUGCCUGUUUCGUUGGAAUUAUGUAGUGUGGAUAUAUAUAAAUAUGUUUAUAUUUAUACCAAUGGGUCUGUACAUAUGUACAUCUUUUUUUUUUAAUUUUUUUCAAUGUUUAUUUAUUUUUGGGACAGAGAGAGACAGAGCAUGAACGGGGGAGGGGCAGAGAGAGAGAGGGAGACACAGAAUCGGAAACAGGCUCCAGGCUCUGAGCCAUCAGCCCAGAGCCCGACGCGGGGCUCGAACUCACGGACCGCGAGAUCGUGACCUGGCUGAAGUCGGACGCUUAACCGACUGCGCCACCCAGGCGCCCCCAUAUGUACAUCUUUCAUGUCUGAUGUGACCCAGGGAUUAUGUUUCUUGAAUGUCGUUAUAAGAACACAUUAACAAGAUAAAGAAAAAUGUUAAGGGAGAGAUAGAUGAAGAAAAAAAAAUGAAGUAGGAAAGAAGGUAAUUUUACAUUUCGAUGAUCUUAAGUAAAAGCACACCCGUGAGAACUAAAAAAAAAAUAACAAAAAUCCAGUAAAAUGAAAGGAUAACAGCUGAAAUAUAAUAAUGAGCUAGUGUGGACAGGAGUUAAAAUAAGAUAAAAGGCAAAAAAAAAUCCCCAAUGAAUAAAAAUAUGAAAAUAAAAGAGAUAAAUGAUGAUGAUUAUAGGCCAUACCUAUGAGUUAAAAAGUGAAAAAGAGGUGGCACCUGGUUGGCUCAGUCAGUUGAGCAUUUGACUCUUGAGAUCAGCUUAGGUCAUGAUCCCAGGGUUGUGGCUGGGAUCAAGCCCCGUGUGGGGCUUCAAGCUGAGCGUGAAGCCUGAUUCAGAUUCUCCCUCUCUCUCAUUCUCUACCCCUCUCCCCUUCUUCUCUCCUUCACACACCUGCAUGUGCGCUCUCUCUCAAAAUAAAAUGUUAAAAAGAUGACUUUUUUAAAGUAAAAAUAAGAAUGAAAAAGCUAAAAACAGGAAGGUAAAAAGUAAAUACAUAAAUACACACACAUAUAUAUGUGUUGUUAAAUGAUUAAGAAAAUAUCUUUAAAAGAAAAUAAAAACUUAAAAAUAUGAGCGAGAAGAGAGGGGAAUGAAAGCAAAGCAUACGAAUCUUAAACCAAAAUCAUUGGAGAGGCUGGGCAUCUCCUGGUCUGGUGUUUGAGCAGCAGAAACUCUGAUGGUCCGGGGUUCAGAUGAUGGUCUCAACUCUGCCAGUCUUCCAGCAGCCCAGAGGCAGCCCUGCCUUCAAACAGCUGGUGGGAAAACCGGAGCAUCCUGGUCUCUGCUUUCUUCCCAGGCGCGUAGGGUGACUCACCAAGUCUACUGAUGAAGUCCACACUCGAGAUGCCCUUACCAUCCUGACGCCCUAGUGGGUAUUUGCUAAGUGUUCUAGGGGGUCGGGAGGCGGGUGGAGAGAAGCCAAAGGGGAUGGGGCACAGCGACAUUGUCAAACUCCACUUCCCAGGAAACUGUAUUUUUUUAAGGUUUAUUUAUUUAUUUUGAGACAGAGAGAGAGAGAACAAGUGGGGGCAGGGUCUGAGAGAAAGGCAGAGAGAGAAUCCCAAGCAGCCUCUGUGCUGUCAGCACAGACCCUGACAUGGGGGCUCGAACUCAUGAACUGUGAGAUAGUGACCUGGGCUGAAGUCAGACGCUCAACCAAGUGAGCCACCCAGGCGCCCUGAGGGCUCGAUUUUUUUUUUUUAACAAUGAUAAUGGUAAUCAUUAAAUGUGUCUAGCACCACACUGAGUGGACAUUGUCCCACAGACGGUCUCACUUUUAGAGCUCACACCGGCCUUCUAAGUGUCAUUUUUCAUAGAUUCAUAUUUCAUAGAUCCUCUAAGAUGAACCUGUAUCUUACAAUCUCUGUGAUAAGAGAGCUUUAUCUUGUGGUUUGAUGGCCCAUGGGUUUUCUUAAAGGCACAUAAAAAAUGGUGGCUCUGACAAUUUAUGGUGUGUGUUCGAUUUGAUGGGAUACAGUAGAUGCCACUCUCCACGUUUUCUGGAUGAGAAAACUGAGGGUCCAGGAGACCAAACAAGCUGCCUGAGAUCCUAUGCAGGUGCAGGUACAUCACCGUGGUUGGUGAUCACCAUGGCAUCUGCUGGUUACGGAUACCAAAACGUGUUCAUUUUUUCCCCUGGAAAUCAUCUGACCCACCCGGAGGAGGUCCAACCCCAGAACGUGCGAGCGGACAAAGCUCCCAGGAGACAAGCUGGUAGAAGCUGGUGUAUUUGUUGUUGUGAGAGAAGGGGCAGCGUGCAAGCGGGGGAGGGGCAGAGAGAGAGUGGGCAGAGGAUCAGAAGCCGCGCCGACAGUGAGCCUGAUGAGCCUUGAUGCGGGGCUGGAACCCAUCCACCGCGAGAUCAUGACCUGGGCCAAUCACAGUCGGUCGCUCAACCGACCGAGCCACCCAGACAGCUGGCUGGCUGCCUCGGAGAUCGGCAAACUGGAACAGGAGCCGCAGAAGCACUGUGUCCACUGCACCGCCAGGCCAGGAGAAACAAUAUUAUCUCCUUGUGAGAACAGUUUGUUCCCGUCGUGCUUUGAUUUAACCUUACAAGGAAAAAUGGCCAGUUACGGAGUCAUUUUCCUGAAUGUUGUUGGAGCUGCCUGGCGGUCCUUCGCGCUGGAUGAAAUACUGAGUAUACCUGAAUUCAAAUCUUAUGAGAAGGAGCUAUCUCGGUGGAAGCCAGAAAUAUGAACUGAAAAGGAUACCGGUUGAAACUUUAAGUGUCAAAAACUGUCGAGGGCUUACUAAAAUCUCUGCUGGUCAUACUGGGCAAUGAGUAAAGAAUCAUUGAGAGCUGGGGAAAUAUAGAGAGUGAAGUUGACAACAUAGCCAAAGAGAAGAUCAUGAGGUUCGGGAUACCCUUAAAGAGAAAUUGGAGGAGAAAAGAUAAAAAUGGUGGAGAAUAAGAUAAUUUGUACUCUCAAGGGAAUGCGCAAAGGUCAAAGGUCAAGUGUGGCUUCAUAUUUAUGGAUUCAUUGUGCCCUUUCAUUGGGCUCUGUUGACAUGAGCAGUAAUUUCAUUCAGCUUGAUUUGGUGAAAGGCCCGUUUUUAGUAACACAAAACUCUUUAUAUGACGUCCAAGGACAUCAACGUCAAACUGGUUAAUUAAUGUCACCAAUUCAAAAAAUAUUGAAGAUGAGCCAUACAGCAUAAAACUUGAAAUGUUCUGAAAUCCCACAGCUCAUAUAUGAAAGAAACUUUGUAGAGACUUACCCAAAUUUGAUGACAAUCCUGAUAAUUUAUAGGACAUGCUCAAUAACAAGGUGUGAAGCGGAGACUUUCUCUAACUUAUCCAUAAUAAAAACAAUUUUGAAGAGUCCAUGCUGGAGGAAGACAGACUUAACUAUCUUUCUGUUCCCUCUGCAGAAGAUAUUACAAAAUUAUUACUCUACGGAGAGGUCAUAAAAGAUGAUGUAGCCAAAAGUAUAGGUAAAAAGCUGAUUAAGGAAAACAAAAAUUGAGGAUAUUAUGGUCUUUGCCAGCUUUUAAAAAUGUGUCGCUUGUGGUGAUUUAUUUUCUCAUGCUAAAUAAAUAUCCACUCUCGAGACUAA